UGACAAGAAAUAACAAUACAAGGCAGUUAAAAUGCUUUGUAAUUGGAAUGAUAGAAAUUUAAACACUUUUUAAAGUAUCAAUUGGAGGGCAAGUCUGGUGCCAGCAGCCGCGGUAAUUCCAGCUCCAAUAGCGUAUAUUAAAAUUGUUGCAGUUAAAAAGCUCGUAGUUGAAUUUCUGUUAAAAAUAACCGGUCUGCUUUUAAUAAAAGUGGUAUCUUGGUGUGUUUUUAGCAAUAAUGUCCUUUGAAAUGUUUUUUACUUUAUUGUAAUAAAUAAUAUUCAGGAUUUUUACUUUGAGAAAAUUAGAGUGUUUCUAGCAGGCUAACGCUUUGAAUACUGCAGCAUGGAAUAAUAAGAUAGGAUUUUAGUUCUACAUUAUUGGUUUUAAGAACUAAAUUAAUGAUUGAUAGGGACAGUUGGGGGCAUUUGUAUUUAACUGUCAGAGGUGAAAUUCUUAGAUUUGUUAAAGACAAACUACUGCGAAAGCAUUUGCCAAAGAUGUUUUCAUUAAUCAAGAACGAAAGUUAGGGGAUCGAAGACGA
rnacentral:rRNA from 1 species